UACGGGGGGAGCAAGCGUUGUUCGGAUUUACUGGGCGUAAAGGGCGCGUAGGCGGCACCGCAAGUCGACUGUGAAAUCUCCGGGCUUAACUCGGAAAGGUCAGCCGAUACUGCGGGGCUAGAGUGCAGAAGGGGCAACUGGAAUUCUCGGUGUAGCGGUGAAAUGCGUAGAUAUCGAGAGGAACACCUGCGGCGAAGGCGGGUUGCUGGGCUGACACUGACGCUGAUGCGCGAAAGCUAGGGGAGCGAAGCGGG
rnacentral:rRNA from 1 species